AGGAAAUAAUAGAGUUAAACCCUUGAAAUCAUAUCAAUAAUCCCUUAAAAUCAACAAGGGAAUCUAAUUCACUCAUAUGUGAGUGCUUAAUCCUUUGAUCACAAAAGGUCUAUCCUUAACAAAGCUGAUAAAAUACUUUGUGUCUCCCGAAUGUGUUAUCCUAAAUACUGUGUAAACAAGGUCAUGUAAAUGGUUUAUUCAGAAAUAACAAAUUUAACUAAGUAAAUUUAUUUAUUGUAAAAACUUAUUUUUUUGUGUCAAAAGAAACUAAAAUGUGUUGUUAAAGCAAUUAUGCCACCUGUAAUUUAGCUUUCAAAAUUGUUCAAAUAAAUAGUCUGUAUUGCAGCAAGAUCCAAGCUAGCCUCCUAGUCACUAGCUUGUGAGUAGAGAGACAGAAGCAUUUUUUCUGUAUGGACUCAGCAGUCUUCUGGGGUCAUUCUGCUCAGAUCCUGGGACACAUGCUUGUUUCUGUUCCAUACUAUAGAAUGUUCAACACAUGUUCAUAUUCAUUCUCUUUGCUUUUCAUAUUUACCAUGUUUUUUCAGUUACUGGACUGUGAGGGCUAUUUUUAGUUGUCAUCUUGACAACAUCCAGAAUAAACUAAAACCUAAGCUUCAGGUUAUACCUGUGAAGAAUUUUUCUUGAUUGAUUCCUUUGAGGUAUGAAGAAUCACCUUAAAUCUGGGCCAUACUCUAAGGUAGCAGCCUUGAUGAAGCUACAGAAGAAGGGAUUCUUUGCUCUUGCCUGCUUGGUCCCAGUUUGCUGGCAAGGUCAUUUCUUCACUGGUAUUAGACACUCACUACCUUUUUUUCCUCAGGAACUAUGGAGUAUUCUGAAUACCAUCUGAGACAUCCUGCCUUGUAGACCAAACAACUAACCUUAGGAGUAUUCUUGAAUUUUCCAUCAGUUGACAGGUAUUAUCAGAGUAGCUGGAACACAGCCUCUAAGCCUGUUCUUUGUGAGAGAAUGAGCUUGGCCUGAAGUAGAAGUUUCUGAUUAUGCAGACUCCUGUGGUGUUUUGCUGAGGGUACUGGAAGUUUCUAUGAAAAGGCAUGAAAGUUGAAGAACUCUGUUGGAUGAGGAGGGGUACACCAAAAGGUGGGGGCAAAAACGGUCAAUGGUGGUGAAUAUGAGCAAAGUAAAUUCUACAUGUAUAUAAACAUGUAUAGUAUGAAGAAUCUUUUUGUGUAAUUAAAAUGUUAAUAGAAGGGGAGGACAAUAAAAAUCUUAGAAUUGUAAUCCCAUGCAAGUAUACCAAUAUCAUUUACUGUGUUAACAUGAAAGCAAUGACAAAAUAUUAGAAAGCCCUCACAACCCCUAACAUUUAUGUGGAAAUGGUCAGACUCUUUAAGCUAUUUUUCAAAUAAAGUCUCUGAAUUUACUUA